rnacentral:rRNA from 1 species
CCUACGGGAGGCAGCAGUGGGGAAUAUUGCGCAAUGGACGAAAGUCUGACGCAGCGACGCCGCGUGUGGGAUGACGGUCUUCGGAUUGUAAACCACUGUCAGGAGGGACGAAUACGCCGCAAGGCGGGUGACGGUACCUCCAAAGGAAGCACCGGCUAACUCCGUGCCAGCAGCCGCGGUAAUACGGAGGGUGCGAGCGUUGUCCGGAAUCACUGGGCGUAAGGGGCGCGUAGGCGGCCUGAUAAGUAGGGGGUGAAAUCCUGCGGCUUAACCGCAGGGCUGCCUUCUAAACUGUCGGGCUCGAGCACAGUAGAGGCAGGUGGAAUUCCCGGUGUAGCGGUGGAAUGCGUAGAGAUCGGGAAGAACAUCAGUGGCGAAGGCGGCCUGCUGGGCUGUUGUUGACGCUGAGGCGCGACAGCGUGGGGAGCAAACAGGAUUAGAUACCCUGGUAGUCCACGCCGUAAACGAUGGGCACUAGGCGUCGGGGGGAGCGACCCUCCCGGUGCCGUCGCUAACGCAGUAAGUGCCCCGCCUGGGGAGUACGGCCGCAAGGCUGAAACUCAAAGGAAUUGACGG